GGGACGGUAGCUCAAUUGGUUAGAGCACCAGCCUGUCACGCUGGAGGUUGCGGGUUCGAUUCCCGUCCGUCUCGCCA
rnacentral:tRNA from 1 species